CGUGAUAUCGAUACUUUGAAUGUGAACAUGUUUAAAUUAAAAAGGACAGGAUCGAAAGCAUCGAUACUUUAGUAUCAAUCCGCCCAUCCCUACUUUCAACGAAAAAAGUAGGCGCGCUUUUUGAGAAGGAGGAGGGGAGGAGGAUCCUGGAGAGGGAAAUCAAAAGGCGCGAUCCAAUAAGCAAGCAACUCCGACGCGUGGAUUGGUUGGCGCGCUCACGGACCGGAAGUGUGGCAAACCAGCGGCGGUCGUCUGUCUGUACGGCUCUGAUUGUUUUUCUCUGUUGACGCCGGCGUCUUCCGAUGAAGGUACACUUGAAUGCCGUGACACCCGGGGUGAGGCGCAAUUCGGCGUCAAGGACGGGCCUCGAGUCCUAACUGUACAGAGAAACCACCCAGUGAGGCAACUGACUCUGCCCCUUCAGGUUCCUGGACUACAAAGAUGCAACUUACUGGAAGGAGAUGUCACUUCUACCCAGAACAACCAGAGCCAAGGAUCUCCAAGACUUCCCAAAGGCAGGCCAGAAAGCCUAAUUAGUUGCAGCCACAUUACAUUCGUGGUGAUUGUUUUAGUUUCUUUUUACACUGUUGUGUGUUUUUUUUUUUGU